GGAAAACACCAUGUGCAAAACCUGUUGCACGUUUUAAACAUGCUUUCUAAUUCAACGUUCUUCAUCUCCCUCCUUCUCCCUCCACCGCACCGUAGUUCACCACCGGCGGCGAUGAAGUAACAUCUCACUAAAUCAUUUACGCAGAAACAUUCCAAAUCUCACGCUUAAUCCAAAUCCAAACUCCAAUUCUUCUGAAAACUCAUGAAAUCUCCAGAUCGAAGAAAAAUGUUCAAGAACCCUAGCUCUAAGAACAAAAAUUAAAUUAUGGGUAUCUGGAAUCAAAACCCUAGAGAUUAGGGCUUUGAUUCAUCUCAACAAGCUCUACAUACUAGUAACUUUUUUUAAUCAAAAUGAUGGAGGUAGAGGAAAGCACUCAUUGGAGCAGGCGCCAGAAUUCCAGGGUGGUUUUGUGGUAUGAUGCAGGUGAUUGAUGAUGAUGAACCAAAGGCUGCAGCAGGUUCAGGGUAUUGUGAGGUUGAAUCAGGUUUUCCCCAAGGUCAUUCUUGGACUGCAGGGCAAGGCAACUUCAAGGUCAAGGCUUGUGUGUGCAGGCUUAUGUGAUACAGAAUGUGUGCUUGCUAUGUUAUUUUGUUGCUCAUGCCAUGGGCUGUUGGUGGCAAUGUGUUAGUCUUGUGGUUUGUAGCAAGGCAAGGCAAAAUGACCAAGGCAUGACCAACUUGCACAACAAAAGGGAUUUCUUGCUCAUGAAGGAAGUGUGAUAAUGGAGCAUCAAGAAAUCAAUGCAAGGAUGAAAAUGUGAUUAGUAUUAGGUUUAGGGAUGAAAAAUGUAAUAGUUUACUUUUGUUAACUGGUUGACCAAAAAGUCAACCAGUUGACCGAAAGUCAACUUUUGUAAAAAUGCAAUUUUUGAUAUUUUCUUUUGUAAUGAACAUUUUAUAAACUAAUGAGUGAAUGAAAUGCAUUUUUUUAAUGAAAUGACCA